AGUAUAUAAUUCCUUACUGCUGUGGAAAGAAAUGAAGAAAGUGGUUAAAAUUUCAACAUCUUCAGAGCAACCAAGAAAAAAGUAAAAAGCUACGAAUAGUCCAGAAAAUAAACUCAAAAACUCAUCUAAGACUAAACUCAGUGCAAUUUGACCAUCACUUUUAAAUUGCCAAGACUGAGGAUGGACUUACUAGGAAGUGAAGAAAGCCUCCCGUGCAUGAUCCCUGGGGCGCCUGGGGAGCCAGGAGUGGAGGAGUAUUCCAGGAGGAAGACCAGCUCCCUUACAGGAUUGUGUUAGUAAAUGGAAUAAGGGCAAAGUGAGAAGGCAGCUACAAACCAGGAAGAAAACUCUCAUCAGAAACCACAUUGUCCAGCACCUUGAUCUUGGAUUCCCGUCUCUAGAAGUGUAAGAAAGAAAUUUCUGUUGUUUAAGGAACCCAAGGGUGUGGUAUUUUGUGACAGCAACUUAAGAAGACUAAGACAGCAUUCAAAAAGAUGAAAUACCCAGGAAUAAAUUUAA